rnacentral:rRNA from 1 species
AUUGAACGCUGGCGGCAUGCCUUACACAUGCAAGUCGAACGGCAGCACGGGAGCAAUCCUGGUGGCGAGUGGCGAACGGGUGAGUAAUAUAUCGGAACGUGCCCAGUCGUGGGGGAUAACGUAGCGAAAGCUACGCUAAUACCGCAUACGAUCUACGGAUGAAAGCGGGGGAUCGCAAGACCUCGCGCGAUUGGAGCGGCCGAUAUCAGAUUAGGUAGUUGGUGAGGUAAAGGCUCACCAAGCCGACGAUCUGUAGCUGGUCUGAGAGGACGACCAGCCACACUGGGACUGAGACACGGCCCAGACUCCUACGGGAGGCAGCAGUGGGGAAUUUUGGACAAUGGGCGCAAGCCUGAUCCAGCAAUGCCGCGUGCAGGAUGAAGGCCUUC